UGCAUUCACUACUGUAAGUCACUCUGGAUAAGAGCGUCUGCUAAAUGAAUAAAA
rfam:Salmo salar isolate Sally breed double haploid chromosome ssa18, whole genome shotgun sequence.